ACAACAAUUUUUCCGGUUCGC
rnacentral:siRNA from 1 species